CAAAACCUAAUUCACACUCUUAUAAUUCCAAAAUUGCUCUCCACAUAUAUUAUUGAUGCCAAAAUCUGGUCGAACUUUGUUGCAACUAGAUAAUUACCUCAACACCUGAAUUUGUUUGAUUGGAGACAGAUUCUAUUCGCACUUCCUCACUUUGACACAUGAACCUUUUUCGACAAUGUGCACCUUUUAGAAAAUCUACCUGCGUUCACAACAAACUGUUAGGUGGGGUGCCAUAUGUUUUUCCGGCGUGAUCUCUCCGACGCUCAAGUUAGUGUCAAGGCCAUUUCAAAAAACUUUCGCCACCACCUUUGCGGCUAGGAGUGGGCAUAUCGAAUUUCGGUUUGGGUUACAACCUGUUCAAGUUAGAGAAUUCAACCCAAUCGGGUUUGAAAUUCAAACUCAAACCGAACCGAACCGAAUUUAAUUUGGUUUGGGUUGAAAUUAAUUUAGUUCGGUUUGGUUCAGGUUACAAAUUCGAGUUGGCAAGGAUUUCUCUUUUUAUUUGUCUCGACACUUUCCCAUCAACCAAACAAAAUUUUCCCAUUAACCAAACAAAGAAUCCAAAGAAACCAUAAAGCAGAAAAAAAAUAAAGAUAGUAACAAAUCAACAAGGGGAAAAAAAGUGUGAAGAUUAAGUACAAAAAUUUAUCAUGGAAGCUUUAUGCCUGGAUCUAGGAUUAAAAGUUGAGCUUCCCCGAACAAGGGGACAAUGGCGAUCAUUGGCAUGCAGCGGCGAGCUAGGCACUGCAGAUGAUGACAGCUGUAGUGCGUGUGUUUGUGCGAAGCCGAAGAAAAAAAACGAUUAGCUAGCAGCUGGUCAGCUAGUUGGCAAUUGUUUUGUGUGUGUUAUUGACCCAACUAGGGAUGGCAAAUUUUUCCAGACCCGGCCUGGACCUGGAAAAACCCAGACGAUCCGGUCCGGGUUUAACUCUUACCGGAUGCAUUAAUAAUGCAGAUCUAGUUUGCUUUUUUUUCAAAUCCAGACAUAUCCAGGUCUGGUUCCGGGUUUAAGUGAACCCGAAUUUCUAGAACCCAGACUUGGACUACACUAUUUUUAUAAAUUAAUUUUUGUUGCAAAGGCUUAAAAGCAAACAAAACAAACCUAGAAACCCUAAAGCAAAACAAACAAAACACACUAGCCGCCACCUUAGGGAAAAACAAAAAAACAAAAAAACUUGAACAAAACAAGCCCUAGCUGCCACCUCAAUCUUCAUAUUCCUCAUCCCCAACGCUCAACAUCAAUUCAAUGGUUCAUCAAUACAUCAUCAAUUUAAAUCAUCCUCAGUUCAUCAUCCAUUACCAUCAAGAACAACAAACAACAACCAAGCUCCACCACCGCCAAAUUUAAUCUCGCCUCUCACCAAAGAGCAAGCUUUGCGCUAGCCGUUAACCCUUCUCGCCGGCAAUCACAUUUUUCACCGGACUUAACCACCUAUCGCCAUCAAUCAAAGAUAAUUUUCAUUUCUUUCUCUCUAUUUCUUUUAAAUUUUUUGCUUCUACUUAUUUCUGGUAAUUAUUAAUUUUGUUGUUGUGAAUAGCCAAAUGUAGCAUUUUAACACAUAAUGUCGAUAUAAUUGUAAAUUUUUUUAUUGAAGCAAGUAAAUUUAGUUGAAACCCCAUGAAUUUGACCUAUUAUUUUCUGCUUCUGCAAUUCCAAAGAGGCAAAAGUGGCAAGCAUUAAGUUUGCACGCCUUCAUCCAACUACCGGGUUUAGAACCCGCAAUCCGAAAAUCUGAAUUUUUCUGGGUUGAACCCAGUCCGGACCCGUAGUUGAAUAAUUCGGGUUUAUAUCCGGAUCCAGGAAGAUAAAUUGUCAUCCGGGUCCGGAACCAGAAAGGCCAAACCCAGACCCGGAUUUUGCCAUCCCUAGACCCAACAAACACAAAAAAUCUAACAACACGAUUGAAAGAUGACGAUUUGACCAAGAAGGAAUAUUCGACAAAGUCCCAUAUCCUCAUGUGCUAUGGGAUUCCGUUUGUUUUGGGCUUGUCUUCUAUGUUGAUGCCUGGUGUGUAAUCUCUAAUGCUAUGAGUGUCAAUGUGCAAGUAUACACAAUAAGUAAUAUACUUAUGAGUAUUCAGAUCAUCUCCAUAGGGAUUGAUGUUAUCAGAUUUGCUACAGCAAUCUUAACAAUGCAGUUUUGUUUUAAAUUAAAAUAAGACAAUUUAUAAAACUAAUAAUAUAAUUAAAAUAAAAAUGAAAUUAAAAAAAUUCUUACGUCAACACAAGGAUAUAAUCAAUGGGAAUGGAGUAGUUGAGUGAAUACACUCACUUAAUGACUUUGACUUUGUUUUCAAUUACAAUGCCGUUACUACAUCAUCUACUACAACACUAGGCAGAAUCUCUCAUGCAUCCUCAGCUGUCACCUGUUGGAUAUCUUAUAUUUAAUGCAACAUAACAGUGACCAAUUGUUAUGCCAACAUUAAAUAUAACAUUAAACGAUCUAGGUUAUAUUUACCCUACAAAGUGAAUCUCUAUGUUUAGUACAUCACUAAUUUUAUAUCAAUGAUGACCCUGUUCAUAUUGAGAUUAACUCAACUUGGGAAACUCAAUCUAAAACCAAGUGUUGUCUUAAUUCGAUCCACUAAGUCAUACUUUUUUUAAGCUCUUUCUUAGUUAAUAUCCUUAAAUGAGUGAUCAGCCGAAAUAGAUCAUUAAAAUAAAUAUAAUUAAGACAAAAUGUUAUAACAAACACAGAGAAACACAUGUAUGACAGUCAAACAUCCAUUAAGAUCGUUUAUCACUCAACUACAAUCAAAUUCAGUUCGUGAUUUACGAUAGAAAAAUAAAUAAAAGAGUUUCAGCCAUCAAAUACAUCCCAAUGAAUAAAUAGAAAACAAAAAAAAAAAAUAAGAAGAACUUAUUUCGGAUUAAUCUCUGCGAUUUCUCCUCUAGUACAGUCUUCAAUCUAUCUCUUAAUUUUUGUUUUUCUUGUUGUUUAUUUGCAGUAUAUCCUUUGGGUGACGGCUCUCCCUUUUCUUUUGCAAGCAUGCUCCUUUUAUAACUAAAAAUUAGGGCAACCGAGAGUAUGUGGUGCAUAUCCUUCAUUUUUGAAAACUUUAUAUCACAAUUUUUUAAUUAUCUCGUGCGAAAUAUUCUCUGUCAUUACUCCAGGAUUGCUACAAUAAUGGCUUCAGUAUCUUCACUGUUUUUUACUUAUUUCAAUUCUUAUGUAGUCAAGUUUUUUCAUUAUCUUUGCAGGUCCGUUGCAACAACAUUCAUUCCUUAAAUUUUGAGCUUUCGGUCACCUACAAUUAAACAUAUAAUCUAAAUAUAAAUUAUUCUAAAAAAACAACUCAAUUUAUUAGAAUUAGACUAAAAUGGACGUUCAUGCAAAAUAUAAAUAAAAUACAAUAAAAAUUACAUCAUUUACUCUCUAAGUAUUACCGAUUCAAGUUUAAAAGUGUCAUGAUAACUCUAUGAAGUUUAAAUUAAGCAUAUAAUCUAGGUACAAAUUAUUCUAAAAAACAACUCAAUUUAUUAAAAUUAGACUAAAAUAGACGUUCAUGCAAAAUAUAAAUAAAAUGCAAUAAAAAGCACAUUAUUUACGCUCUAAGUAUUACCGAUUCAAGUUCCCAUCUCAUCCAUAUAAUCAUCAUCAUCAUUAUCAUCAUAAUAUUCAUGCGGGCUGGAUUUUUCCAGUGACAUCAAUAGUAGUGCUAAUUCAUUUUUUAAGAUUUUUUUAAUUUUUAUUUUAACAUUGAUACUUUAAAUGAGACAGAGAUGGAUUUGUGAGAAUUAAAAAUGAAAGGUAGAAGAGAUUGAGAAUUAUUGAAUUAGAUUUAGAAAUUCAAUCCAAAUGGAUUCUAGGGUCAACCCAAACCGAACUGAAAACUGAAAUAAAUUUUUGGUUCGGUUCGGGUUGACUAAAAAAGGACACCCACCCCUACUUGUGGCUUAAUUCAUUUGCCUUUUUUUUUUUUUUUAUAUAUAUUAGAAGGCAUUUUAAUUGUUAUCUUAAAGAAAUUAAAAGAAAGAGACUGAGUAAAGAAAGACCAAAAUUUUCUUCCAAAAAGAAAAUAAGAAAAGAGCCAAAAAAAGAGAGAAAAAACUUACUUACCUAAUUGUGAGACUUUUAUAGGCAGCCAAGAUCACUGCCUCAAUAUUGAUGCCUGGACGCACUACAAGAUCGUUGAUGAACUGGCUUCGUGCCCAGAUAUCUUGAAAAAAAUCACGGGUUGGCCUUAACCUAACCCCAUAGUUGACUUAGUGCAGAUUCCCUUUUCACAUCAACCAACCGACCACGCAUGCUCAAUUCCCACGAGCUGAUCUCCCACACCUUAACUAAUGAGAGCAGGAUUCGCACUAGGCAACCUUUGGUUGUGCUCACAUUUCACACCUCAAACAUAUAUUACUUCAGUUUUUUUUUUUAAUAAACCUUAGAACCUGACCUUUUUUCUCUCUCUCUCAAGCCACAUUCUAGAGUAUUCUCCAAAUAUCUUUGUUUUCUUCGCCGAUUUGGCAAUCUUUCUCUUUUUCUUUUUUCUUUCAUUUUGCUUUGCUUGUUUCUUUAGCCUUAAUGGCGUUUUGUCCUUUCAUUUUUAAAUGUAUUAUCUCCA
rnacentral:lncRNA from 1 species